UGGCUGAAACUGGCAGCUAAAAGGAAGACCAAGCAGACACCCAGAUGAGGGAACAGCUGCCGCUGUACACAUGGUUAUUUUCCAGAAAGAAACUUUCUGUUAGCACUGAAGUGGAAAACCAGUGUUGCUUGCUUAAACAGAAGGGACACCGAGGAUCCAUGUUUCUGGAGGAAGGACGCAAAGAAAGUAAAUCGAAUCCAGGAGCCUAGGAAGCAGUGCCACCUAGGAAGGAAAAGGGUUGAGAACAUCACUCUGAAAUGACUCCGGUUUAGCACAUUGAUUGUCCAGUAGGAAAGGCCUGCAAGCAAGCCGACCCAUCUGUCCAAGCCUGUGCUGUCUCGUCUUCACAGCAGGGCGGCACCAGCUCGCCGCAGCGUGCGCUUUGGCUGUGGUCGUGCUCAGGGUGCAGUCGCACCAUGCCAGGUUACAAUCAGCACACGGACGGCGGCACGUAGGCGGUGGGGUGCUGGAUGACAGGAGGAGCUUCUUUUCUGUAAAAUGGGACCAAUACCUACUGUACCCAGCAGAAUCUCAGGAAGAUAAGAUGAAUGGUGUUCGCAAUGACAAUGUGAGUAUCAUUCACCAUAGCCAGGAUUUAGAAAUGACCUAUGGGGCUUCCCUGGUGGCUCAGCUGGUAAAGAAU